rnacentral:rRNA from 1 species
GACGAACGCUGGCGGCGUGCUUAACACAUGCAAGUCGAACGAUGAAGCUGGAGCUUGCUCUGGCGGAUUAGUGGCGAACGGGUGAGUAACACGUGAGAAAUCUGCCCUUGACUCUGGGAUAACUGCGGGAAACUGUAGCUAAUACCGGAUACUUUCCCUGGUGGGCAUCCACUGGGGAAGAAAGGAUUUCGGGCAAGGAUGAUCUCGCGGCCUAUCAGCUUGUUGGUGAGGUAGUGGCUCACCAAGGCGACGACGGGUAGCCGGCCUGAGAGGGUGACCGGCCACGUUGGGGCUGCGACACUGCCCAGACUCCUACGGGAGGCAGCAGUGGCGAAUAUUGCACAAAGGGCGCAAGCCUGAUGCAGCAACGCCGCGUGAGGGAUGAAGGCCUUCGGGUUGUAAACCUCUUUUAGCAGGGAAGAAGCGAAAGUGACGGUACCUGCAGAAAAAGCACCGGCUAACUACGUGCCAGCCGCCGCCGUAA